rnacentral:rRNA from 1 species
UACGUAGGGGGCGAGCGUUGUCCGGAAUUAUUGGGCGUAAAGAGCUCGUAGGCGGUUCGGCAAGUCACGUGUGAAAUCUCCACGCUCAACGUGGAGGCGCCACGUGAGACUGCCGUGACUCGAGUCCGGUAGGGGAGCGUGGAAUUCCCGGUGUAGCGGUGAAAUGCGCAGAGAUCGGGAGGAACGCCCGUAGCGAAGGCGGCGCUCUGGGCCGGUACUGACGCUGAGGAGCGAAAGCGUGGGGAGCAAACAGG